UUGACGUCCAGUUUUUUAUCAGGUUUCUUUCAUGUACUCAGAUCUGCCACUUGGUCACCACAAACCAUGUCUGGAACCAGGGAUCCCAGGUGGCAACUUUUGCUCCAAGUGACCCCUCAGUUAUUCUAAUUUUUUGUUCUACGAUGACAUGGAGAAUAAAGUCAGACUUACUAAGGGCAAAGAAGGCUUGCUUAUCUAUUGGUGGAAAAAAAAAAACUUAACCAACUUUCAGAAGAGGUGGGAGGAGCCAAACUGACGUCAGACAGAGGAAAGAGACCUUGUGCAGACUGCGGGGACACAGACUCUGGGUAAGUGAGGAUGCUUAAGUUGCAGAUAAGAAGGGUUGCUGCAUAAGGUGAUGGUGGUAGAGCAAAGGCUCUGGAUGUCACCACAAGUAGCCAGAAAGAGGGAAUUCCUAAGGUCCGGGUGAAGCAUAGGGAAUACACCUCCCUAGAUGACCUUUGGCUCCUCUGCCCCCACCUCAGGAAUCCCAGCUCUUUC
rnacentral:lncRNA from 1 species